rnacentral:rRNA from 1 species
AACGAACGCUGGCGGCAGGCCUAACACAUGCAAGUCGAGCGAGAUCUUCGGGUCUAGCGGCGGACGGGGGAGUAACGCGGGGGAAUAUGCCUCUUGGUACGGAAUAGCCUCGGGAAACUGGGAGUAAUACCGGAUGUGCCCUUCGGGGGAAAGAUUUAUCGCCAAGGGAUAAGCCCGCGUUGGAUUAGGUAGUUGGUGGGGUAAUGGCCUACCAAGGCGACGAUACAUAGCUGGGUUGAGAGGAUGGGCAGCCACACUGGGACUGAGACACGGUCCAGACUCCUACGGGAUGCAGCAGUGGGGAAUCUUAGACAAUGGGGGCAAUCCUGAUCUAGCCCUGCCGCGUGAGUGAUGAAGGCCUGAGGGUUGUAAAGCUCUUUCAGCUGGGAAGAUAAUGACGGUACCAGCAGAAGAAGCCCCGGCUAACUCCGUG